rnacentral:other from 1 species
AUCGCCACGGAUUUGGCCAUCUUCAGGAAGAAGAGUUGAUGAUUCAGGAUGGGGCAUCAGCAGGAAGCGAAGGACUUUGUACGGACACAACAACUGACAGGAUGUGAGUUGCAACGGAAUGACAAAGGACAGCGUUAGGAUAACGCAGGGACACCGCUCACGGAACAAGUGAUGAGAGCUAACCAGGACAGUUAGCGUUCAGGAUGAAUAGGACACCGCUAGGAAGGCGAAGUAAGGAACGCUGAAGGAUUCAGCCACUAUUAAGGAAGAUGCAAGGAGCAUCAUUAGUAGCCGGAUUGCUGCGAGUUAAGACUAUAGCCCUGAUACGCAAGUAUCAGGGCUUUUCUUUGAU